rnacentral:rRNA from 1 species
UGAGGAAUAUUGGACAAUGGGCGCAAGCCUGAUCCAGCCAUGCCGCGUGCAGGAUGACGGUCCUAUGGAUUGUAAACUGCUCUUGUCCAGGAAGAAACACUCCCUCGUGAGGGAGCUUGACGGUACUGUAAGAAUAAGGAUCGGCUAACUCC